GCUUCAGUUCUCAGAGCUACAACAAUCUAAAAAAAACAGUUGGAGAAGCCAACAAGCCAUGCAAAAGAAAGCCCUGUGAAUGUAAAGAGACUGAGUGGAGUGAUAAAAACCCACCUCUGCAAGGUCUGUGUGGGGAGGGCUUGGUCACAAGAGUGAUGCUGUUCCUGUGAAGAAACAUUUGCAGGCUCCAAGCGCCCAGUAAAGCUGAGCAGGUAGUUCCCAGUGGGAUGGGAGAUGAAGAUGCUCCA
rnacentral:lncRNA from 12 species